rnacentral:rRNA from 1 species
AACGUAGGGGACAAGCGUUAUCCGGAUUUACUGGGCGUAAAGCGCCCGUAGGCGGCCUGACAAGUUGGACGUGAAAGCUCCUGGCUUAACUGGGAGAGGCCGUUCAAAACUGUCAAGCUAGAGUCUGGAAGAGGAGAGCGGAAUUCCGGGUGUAGUGGUGAAAUGCGUAGAGAUCCGGAGGAACACCAGUGGCGAAGGCGACACGCUGGGCCGUACCUGACACUGAUGCGCGACAGCAUGGGGAGCAAACAGG